CCUACGGGUGGCAGCAGUAGGGAAUCUUGCACAAUGGGCGAAAGCCUGAUGGAGCAACGCCGCGUGCAGGAUGAAGGCCUUCGGGUUGUAAACUUCUUUUAUCAGCGAGGAAUAUGAUGGUAACUUAUGAAUAAGGAUCGGCUAACUACGUGCCAGCAGCCGCGGUCAUACGUAGGAUGCGAGCAUUAUCCGGAGUGACUGGGUGUAAAGAGUUGCGUAGGUGGCAUAAUAAGUAGCUAGUGAAAUCUGGUGGCUCAACCAUUAAGACUAUUAGCUAAACUGUUAAGCUCGAGAACGUUAGGGGUAACUGGAAUUUCUAGUGUAGGAGUGAAAUCCGUAGAUAUUAGAAGGAACACCAAUAGCGUAGGCAGGUUACUGGGACGGUUCUGACACUAAGGCACGAAAGCGUAGGGAGCAAACGGGAUUAGAUACCCCGGUAGUC
rnacentral:rRNA from 1 species